rnacentral:misc_RNA from 1 species
GAAAUUGACCUAAUAAGUUCAAAACAUGGCAUGAAACCAGACUCCAGUACCUGACAACCUAAAUGUGAUAAUACCUAUAAAUGUAAUGUUUCAUCUCAGAGGAAGUACCAGAGCAGAAGUUUCAUUCUUAUGCAGCAACAACAUAAACAUAAACAUAAAAUUAUGAAAUAAAAACAUGAAAUGCUUAUAGCCUUGCUGCAAACGUAGAGAAUGUCUAUGACAUCAUAAAUUGGAGAACAGAAAAUCGUCAAAAAGAAAUCACUCUCUCAAUACCUCAUGAAAGACAGCCGAAACGAAGAAGGCAAUAAUUAAGGCUAUCCCCUGAUCAUUGCAAAAAGAUGGAACAAUUGUCAGCAACAACCAACAAGAAAGUACUAAUGGUGACUUAAUUAGCAGAAGUUGAGAUGAGAAAGAAUUAGCACAAACAUUAAUAGAUAUGCCAAAAAGAAUGCUCAAUUUUGAAAAUUUGAAGAUAAAACAAUUAAGUAUUAUGCCUUUUAAGGCAUAUGGCACAUAGCGAAGCUCCAAUCGUAGAUUACGGAAAGGAACAAUAUGAAAUGAUGACAAAAGCAGAGACAGUAAUACAUCAUAAGGAAACAUCUGUUUACAUUGAAAGAAUACAGCAUUUAUUGCACUCUAAGGUGAGAAGCAUAGUUA